rnacentral:rRNA from 1 species
GAGGAACCUGCCUCAAAGAGGGGGACAACAGUUGCCUACGACUGCUAAUACCGCAUAAGCCCACGACCCGGCAUCGGGUAGAGGGAAAAGGAGCAAUCCGCUUUGAGAUGGCCUCGCGUCCGAUUAGCUAGUUGGUGAGGUAACGGCCCACCAAGGCGACGAUCGGUAGCCGGACUGAGAGGUUGAACGGCCACAUUGGGACUGAGACACGGCCCAGACUCCUACGGGAGGCAGCAGUGGGGAAUAUUGCACAAUGGGGGAAACCCUGAUGCAGCGACGCCGCGUGGAGGAAGAAGGUCUUCGGAUUGUAAACUCCUGUUGUUGAGGAAGAUAAUGACGGUACUCAACAAGGUAGUGACGGCUAACUACGUGCCAGCAGCCGCGGUAAAACGUAGGUCACAAGCGUUGUCCGGAAUUACUGGGUGUAAAGGGAGCGCAGGCGGGAAGACAAGUUGGAAGUGAAAUCCAUGGGCUCAACCCAUGAACUGCUUUCAAAACUGUUUUUCUUGAGUAGUGCAGAGGUAGGCGGAAUUCCCGGUGUAGCGGUGGAAUGCGUAGAUAUCGGGAGGAACACCAGUGGCGAAGGCGGCCUACUGGGCACCAACUGACGCUGAGGCCCGAAAGUGUGGGUAGCAAACAGGAUUAGAUACCCUGGUAGUCCACACUGUAAACGAUGAUUACUAGGUGUUGGAGGAUUGACCCCUUCAGUGCCG